ACAGCAGUAGCCACGGUAAUACAGAGGGUGCGAGCGUUAAUCGGAUUUACUGGGCGUAAAGCGUGCGUAGGCGGCUUCUUAAGUCGGAUGUGAAAUCCCUGAGCUUAACUUAGGAAUUGCAUUCGAUACUGGGAAGCUAGAGUAUGGGAGAGGAUGGUAGAAUUCCAGGCGGAGCGGUGAAAUGCGUUGAGAUCGGAAAGAACACCAACGGCGAAAGCACUCUGCUGGGCCGACACUGACACUGAGAGACGAAAGCUAGGGGAGCAAAUGGGAUUAGAUACCCCCGUAGUCCCUGUCUCUUAUAA
rnacentral:rRNA from 1 species